rnacentral:misc_RNA from 1 species
UUGAUUCUUUUCUUUUACUUCAGCGAACGUUACAGACUUUGCAGCAGGAUUAGGGUUUCUCACUCGCUGAGUCUGACCCAAAGAAUUUUUGCCACUUGACACGUCUUCUUUGGAUGAAGAUUGUACCGACAACCCUGAACAAUUUGAUGGAUUGGUAGAAGCCUCUUCUUGUUGUUGAUACUUAUCCAGUAGCUCUUUACUUCCUACAUUUUCAUCCCUCAGCCACGUAGAAGUACUUCCCUUUGAA